AGCGAACGCUGGCGGCAGGCCCAACACAUGCAAGUCGAACGAAGUCUUCGGACUUAGUGGCGGACGGGUGAGUAACACGUGGGAACGUGCCUUUAGGUUCGGAAUAACUCAGGGAAACUUGUGCUAAUACCGAAUGUGCCCUUCGGGGGAAAGAUUUAUCGCCUUUAGAGCGGCCCGCGUCUGAUUAGCUAGUUGGUGAGGUAAAGGCUCACCAAGGCUACGAUCAGUAGCUGGUCUGAGAGGAUGACCAGCCACAUUGGGACUGAGACACGGCCCAAACUCCUACGGGAGGCAGCAGUGGGGAAUCUUGCGCAAUGGGCGAAAGCCUGACGCAGCCAUGCCGCGUGGAUGAUGAAGGUCUUAGGAUUGUAAAAUCCUUUCACCGGUGAAGAUAAUGACUGUAGCCGGAGAAGAAGCCCCGGCUAACUUCGUGCCAGCAGCCGCGGUAAUAC
rnacentral:rRNA from 1 species